GACAGAGGCCCCAAGCGUUAGGCGGAAUCACUGGGCUUAAAGCGUGUGUAGGCGGACGCCUAAGUGUCUUGUGAAAUCCCACGGCUCACCCGUGGAACUGCUGGGCAUACUGGGCGUCUUGGGCCAACUAGGGGCAGCCGGAACAAGCGGUGGAGCGGUGAAAUGCGUAGAGAUCGGAAGGAACACCAGUGGCGAAGGCGGCUACCUGGACAAAUACUGACGCUGAGGCGCGAGAGCGUGGGGAGCAAACAGG
rnacentral:rRNA from 1 species